UGUUUAAAGUAGAAGCGCCCGCUUCUCACCUUUCACCGCAGGUGUCAGGUUUAAAUUUAAAUGUUGUUUUGGUCAAAAAAGAAGCGGGUUUAUACUCGCUUUAUUUUUUGUAA
rfam:Thermoanaerobacterium saccharolyticum JW/SL-YS485, complete genome.